rnacentral:rRNA from 1 species
CCUACGGGUGGCAGCAGUCGAGAAUCAUUCACAAUGGGGGAAACCCUGAUGGUGCGACGCCGCGUGGGUGAAUGAAGGUCUUCGGAUUGUAAACCCCUGUCAUGUGGGAGCAAAUUAAAAAGAUAGUACCACAGGAGGAAGAGACGGAUAACACGGGGACAGCAGCCGCGGUAAUACAGAGGGCUCAAGCGUUGAUCGGAAGCACUGGGCGUAAAGGGUACGUAGGCGGUUUCGUAAGUCGGGUGUGAAAGGCGCGGUGUGAACCCGCGGACGGCAUAUGAUACUGGGAGACUAGAGUAAUGGAGGGGGAACCGGAAUUCUCGGUGUAGCAGUGAAAUGCGUAGAUAUCGAGAGGAACACUCGUGGCGAAGGCGGGUUCCUGGACAUGAACUGACGCUGAGGCACGAAGGCCAGGGGAGCGAAAGGGAUUAGAUACCCGAGUAGUC